GAAACCCUCGCCCAAACCCUCACGCAAACCCUCUCUCCCAAACCCUCUCGUCUAAAUCCUCGCCCAAACCCAAAAAUUAACCCCAGCCCAAACUCCAGAAUUCCAUCCACUCCAAUCGACAUUGGCGGCGCCGUAGAAGCUAAUAACGCCUCCCGUUUGGACUUUAUUCCCAGCAAGUGCAAAUACUUAAUUGUUGAAGCCUUGUCAGUCGGCUCAUGGGGAAUUUUUCAGCUUUGGAACAUUUCUGAUGGUAUAGUUUAAAGGAAUUUUUAUGCUAACGGCAAAAGGCAUGCUGAGUAAUUGGGAACAAGUGGGACACUUACCUUGAUCUUCUCCAGGCUGAUUAUUCUGAAGGGCCAUGUUCUUGGAAUAUAUGAGAGUAAAAGGUAAAAAUGAGUUUGUGAGGGUUCCUGUUAACCCAUCCUUAUUCUACCGAGUUCACAUCUACAUAACUUCCGAAGAUGUCAUACAAGUGGCCACCCAAGAUGAACUUACGGGUUCAGCUAUGUUAUUUGGACUAAGGUAUUUCAUUAACUUUGAUUAAUAUAUCAUAUAGUCAUAUAUUAUGUUAGUGGAGUUUGAAUAUCUUAGAUAUUCAUCCGUAGGGAAGUAGGUUCUGGGUUUGAUUGACUGUGUGGAGAUAUAAGGAAAAAAUCUACCCAUUUGUUGUAUUGCUAUGCACUUAAAAAAAUUUCGGGAAUGUUAUGGAAAUAAGGGAAACUCUGCCCAUUUUUUUUUAGGACUCUAUUUGAUUUUUUUUCUUUUUUAAACAAAUGCAUUUGGGAAAAUUUAAAUCAAAGACAAAAAGAGUUAUACAAGUUUUAUGAUGUCGAGCUUCUUAGUUAUAACAAUGAGCAGGACAAGGUGAUAGCCAUCAAUCAAUUAUCAAUUUGGUUAAACACUAUGACUCAUGUAGGACAAUAUUAUUUUAUACCAUGGAACAUAGGGUAAGAAUCACACAUCUCUUUCACUUUCCCUAUGAUAUUUAUUUUUAUAUUAAUAUAACAUUGUUACUU